UUUUAAAUGCCAGGAAUAAUAUCCUGUCUCCUUCGUAUAGCCCCAGUUGGGUCUGUGCUGAACACUGCUCUCUGGGCAUCAGGUCAUCUGGCUCCAUCACUGUAAUUAUGGCACCCUGUUUUCCUGUGCGAUGUUGUGCAGAACCCCACAGGCUAAAACUAUGUUGCAGACUUUUUCUGGCGUUUAUAGUAG